GGGGAAACAGGCAUGUGAACACCGACCGGCCUGGUACAGCAGGCUGGGGGCUCUAAGGCUGGGUGGGGGAAGUGUGCCUUUGUGAGAGUGUGUGUGUGAGCUCGUGUGUGUGUGUGUGUGUGUGUGUGUGUGUGUGUGUGUGUGUGUGUGUGUGCAGCCGAGCCUGUGUGCUUUGGGUGUGGGUGUUUGUCUCCCUGUAUCCGCCUUCUCUCCCGUUCUGGACUUUUAGCCUUCCUGGGCUCAUCUCCCUCCUGUCCUGCACCCUACCUGUAGAAGCUGGAAUUGGGUGCCCUAGUGGAGAAGGAGGCCACGCUCCAGGGCCCACUGUAACCCCGGACGCUGCCCGAGGCUUCCCUCUAGCUCCCCCUCCCUUCCUUUCCUCUCUUUCCUCCCUCCCUCUUUCUCUUCCUCCCUCCCCCCCAAGGCUGGCGUGCCAGGGGGUGGGACAUGCCAAUCACCGGCUGUGCCUCUCCGGCUGCCAGCACAGGGCGCAGCUCCCCCCGGGAGCCAGGUGUUUGGGUCCCUGGAGACGCCGCCAGCCCCCCGGAGAGACAGCAGGGCUGAGGACCCUUCAGACCCCUCUCCAGCCCCAUGGGAACCCUGACUCCCACCAUCCCCAUCCACCUUCAGCCCCUCCACGAUGGACUGAACCAGGCUGCUGGCCAGAUGGACAAGCGGGAUGCCAAGGUGAUGACCGGCCCCUGAGGAAGCCCCGUCCUGUGAUUAGAGGAAGGGGCUGCCUCCCCUACUCCACCCAGCCACCAUGAAUACCUCAGCGCCACCUGCCGUCAGCCCCAACAUCACCGUCCUGGCACCGGGAAAGGGUCCCUGGCAAGUGGCCUUCAUCGGGAUCACCACGGGCCUCCUGUCACUGGCCACGGUGACAGGCAACCUGCUGGUGCUCAUCUCUUUCAAGGUCAACACGGAGCUCAAGACGGUCAACAACUACUUCCUGCUGAGCCUGGCCUGUGCCGACCUCAUCAUCGGUACCUUCUCCAUGAACCUUUACACCACGUAUCUGCUCAUGGGCCACUGGGCUCUGGGCACGCUGGCCUGCGACCUCUGGCUGGCCCUGGACUAUGUGGCCAGCAACGCCUCGGUCAUGAACCUGCUGCUCAUCAGCUUUGACCGCUACUUCUCGGUGACCCGGCCCCUGAGCUACCGCGCCAAGCGCACACCCCGCCGGGCAGCCCUGAUGAUCGGCCUGGCCUGGCUGGUUUCGUUCGUGCUCUGGGCCCCGGCCAUCCUCUUCUGGCAGUACCUGGUAGGGGAGCGGACGGUGCUGGCCGGGCAGUGCUACAUCCAGUUCCUCUCCCAGCCCAUCAUCACCUUUGGCACGGCCAUGGCCGCCUUCUACCUCCCCGUCACGGUCAUGUGCGCCCUCUACUGGCGCAUCUACCGGGAGACAGAGAACCGGGCCCGGGAGCUGGCGGCCCUGCAGGGCUCGGAGACGCCGGGGAAGGGGGGCGGCAGCAGCAGCAGCUCAGAGCGGUCCCAGCCGGGGGCCGAAGGCUCCCCAGAGACCCCUCCAGGACGCUGCUGCCGCUGCUGCCGGACCCCCCGGCUGCUCCAGGCCUACAGCUGGAAGGAGGAAGAGGAGGAGGACGAAGGCUCCAUGGAGUCCCUCACCUCCUCGGAGGGUGAGGAGCCUGGCUCCGAGGUGGUGAUCAAGAUGCCCAUGGUGGACCCCGAGGCGCAGGCCCCCGCCAAGCAGCCGCCCCGGAGCUCCCCGAAUACGGUCAAGAGGCCGACCCGGAAGGGGCGCGAGCGGGCGGGCAAGGGCCAGAAGCCCCGUGGGAAGGAGCAACUGGCCAAGCGGAAGACCUUCUCGCUGGUCAAGGAGAAGAAGGCGGCUCGGACCCUGAGCGCUAUCCUGCUGGCCUUCAUCCUCACCUGGACGCCGUACAACAUCAUGGUGCUGGUGUCCACCUUCUGCAAGGACUGUGUCCCCGAGACCCUGUGGGAGCUGGGCUACUGGCUGUGCUAUGUCAACAGCACCAUCAACCCCAUGUGCUACGCGCUCUGCAACAAGGCCUUCCGGGACACCUUCCGCCUGCUGCUGCUCUGCCGCUGGGACAAGCGUCGCUGGCGCAAGAUCCCCAAGCGCCCCGGCUCUGUGCACCGCACCCCCUCCCGCCAGUGCUGAUGGCCCUCCCGCCUGCAUCCCUCCACCCCGGCAGCCCCCGUAGAAAUCGGGCAAGGGUGGUGACCUCAGACCCAGGGCCCUGCUAGGGGAGGGGGCCCCCCCCCAGGCUUCCGGGGACCCUAGGUCACCUUCCUGCACAACCCAGGGAGACCCCACCAACUUUCCAAACUGGGGAACCCGGGGAACUGGUUCUUGUGUUCCCUUCUGGGUGGGAAUAGGCUCUUCACCAGGAAGAAAGCCUGGGAGGGGGUAUCCGGACUUUGGAUUCCUUGUUUGUGUUCAGGCAGGAAGUCCAUGCAGAGCCAGUAGAGCCGGCCAGGAGAAAGGAGGUUUAACCAAGCGGUCCUCCUUGGCCCCAGGAGCUGGCCUGGAUCGAGUGGAGGAUGGCACCCCCUGCCAGCAGGGAACUGACACCAACUACUGAGAGAAAAGCUUGGCUCAAGGGAGUAUCCCUGCUUCCCAGGCGUCCCCUCCCUCCCCAGGCACAGCGCACUCCGCUGGGCCCUCGAACACUCUCCAAGGUGUCCUUGUGUGGGUCACCCCCAAGGCAAAUGUCCAAGCAUCAGCGGGACAAUGACACCAGAGGGGACCUAUGUGGCCCGUCGCCAUCAAGCCCCAAGGCAGCAGGAGGAGGGAGCACCAGGCAUCCCGACUGUCCCACUAAGUCAUUUCCCUGGGAGUGAGGGGCAGGGGUGCCUGCUGUCCAGACCCUGCCCUGGAGAAGCCCUCAGACCCUCCCUCCCUGGCUCACAGACACCACCUGGGUAGAUCUGCUCCCUCGGAUCUAGCCAGGCCUCCCGCAUGCUGCCUGCCUCCGCCCCCAACCCCCACUGGUCUGGCCCAGCACAGGUUCCCUCCUGUGUGCUCGUCCAUCUGACCCAUGCAUGGCCUCCCAGCCACCCUCAUCUCCAGGCCCAGCCUGGUCCCAGAUGUUCUUUCCUGCCAACCUCAGCAAGCGCUGAGUCUGUGAAUAAAGCCACAUAACCAGCGGCCACUAAGGGGCCUUCUUCCCUGGGUUAGUUAGCUCUUUUUGUUCCCUCCCUCACACCCCCGCCAGUCGGCUGGCCACACCGUGCAGCUUGCAGGAUCUUAGUUACCCUACUAGGGAUCGAACCUGUGCCCCCUGCAGUGGAAGCCCAGAGUCCGAACCACUGGACUGCCAAGGAACUCCCUUAAGGACCUGGUCGUAAGCCAGGAGAGGAUGGGGCAGGGAGGGUCCAAGGACCGUGAGAAGUGGGUCACUGCCCUGAGGGUGGUCUCAGGAGGAGCAGCACCAAGUGGCUGGGUCUACUGAAACCUGUGAACCCAGCACCCAGCUUCCGGCUCAGGUGAGUAAGGCUGUAGUGGGCAGAGCUGGCUACUGGAAGGAGGAGGACCAUGAAACAAACUGCCCCUGCCCAUAGCCCAGCAUAUUCUUCAGCAGCUUUGCCGUAAGGGGAACUCAUCACUCCCCACCCCAGGGAGAAAGGAAAUGCUCCAAAGCCCCAUUUACAGAUGGGAAGACUGGGGCCCAGUGACCCACAAAGACCUUUCAGGGUUACCCCCAAAGCAACACUUUGAGGGUAACUGCCUGGCUUCCAGACAGUUCACAGCCUCCCAAAGCAUUCCACAAAGAUGCCCCUCAGGCACUUCACUGGUGAGGGGGCCCCCAAAGCCUAAACCCUAGCAAGGUUAAUCCCACAGCGCAGAGCAGUGGCUCUCUGGUUGUCACCGGCGUCCUCAAAACCACCGUUAGGUUCAAUCAUUCACUAGGACACAGAUCUCAGCAAAGCUGUUAUCUUCGUGGUUAUAAUUAUUACUGUGAAAGGAUGCAAAGUCAGCAAAGCAUAAAAGUGCACAGGCAGAGUCCAGGAGAGACCAGCUGCCAGCUUCCGCUGACCUCUCCCAGUGGAGUCAUGGGGACAGCACUUAAUUCUCCCAGCAACAAUGAGUCGCCACCCCAGAAACACAGUUUCCAGCUGCAUGAAGCACUGCCAACCAAGAAGUUCAGCCAAGUCUUGGUGUCUGGUGUUUCAUGAAGGCUACUGACCACCCACAUGGCUGACCUUAGUUACUUAGUCUCCAGCCCCUUCAGAGGCUAUCCCAAGAGGCCCCUGGCUCCCAGAUAAGCAAAAAUAUUCUUAUCAAACAGGAUAUUCCAAGGGUUUAGGGGCUAUCUCCCAGGAGCCAGGCAAACCUUUCUUUGGAGCGUGCGAGGUUUAGACAGCCCAGACGCUGGAUUGAAAGCUGAGUUAACGCUUCAGUGCACAGUGGUCCUGACCAGUAGCAUCAGUAUCACCCAGGAACUUGUUAGACAUAUAAGCUCUUGGGGUUACCCCAGAUUUACUGAAUCAUAAACUCUAGGGGUAUAGCCCAGCCAUGUCUCAAUAAGCUGCCCAGGUGAUUGUGACACAGGUUAAAGUCUGAGAAAUUCUGACCUAGAGGAAUAAGUCAUGUACAGAUGUGAAAGUUGGACCAUAAAAAAAGCUGAGUGCCAAAGAAUUGAUGCUUUC
ensembl:lncRNA cholinergic receptor muscarinic 1